ACGAAGAAGGAUUGAUGUCUUGCUAGAUAUAAGUCUUCAUGACAUCUGGGAAAGAACCGAAACGGAGAUGUGGUAUUUUCGAUGAGCACCACGGAAAUGGGUUUCGGUGAAGCUGUUUAUGGUGUGCAGUUGAAGAGGACGACAUGUUGGUUGCCGUCAACAGUGUGGAAAGAGGUGUUCGGAACUGAGGUAGUAGCUUUGAGCCUGAAGACAACUCCGG
rnacentral:lncRNA from 1 species